rnacentral:tRNA from 1 species
GUAGCUUUCAGUGACUAGUUUCGACCUGGUUUUUUAAUGGCUAUA